CCCAGCAGAUCUUCGAUCUCCUCGAAGGUCAGCACGAGUUCGGCCUUGGUCUGAUGCGAGAGAUACUCGCGGAGUGGAUCGUAAUCGCCCAAACGCGGGGGCUCCGUCAUUGAAAACCGGUGUGUGAGCCGAUAGGUACGUCGCAUCGCCUCUCUUGAACAGGGCUUUUCGUGAAUCUGUUUAUCUUCGGCCUGGGCUUCAGCGG
rnacentral:misc_RNA from 1 species